GGUCACAGAGGGGAAUGUUGGGGAAAAAUAUUUGGACAGGAGGAUGCGGGUUGAGCUGUGCUGCAGGAAGAUCUGAGAGAUCAGUUGCAGGGAACCCAGCACUUCGGGGGAUGCAGUAAUUGCAGAUUGUUUGGGACCUGAACAAAGGCAGUGACCACAGGGAACAGAAGAAAAGAUCAGCCAUUGACCUGCAGAAAGGAGGUGUCCGAGGUCAUCCAAGAUGGGGAAGCCUUUCUGAGGAAUGGGAAAGAUGAAGACUAUGCAGCCAAACUUAGGAACCUCAAUCUCCCUACAGCUUUCCCUCCAUUCUUGGUCAUCAUGACAAGGUAAUGACUCCAACCAAUACAAUUCCCACUGCUUCCGAUCUUGUGUGGUCUCCCGUAGGUAACAAGAAUUCCAUAUUCCCUGAUUUUAUCCCUGGAAGGUGGGGUCCUUUGGGCAUUUUUUUCUUUUACAAGUUCAAACUAUAGAUUCACCUUAAUUUCACUGUUUCUGACAUAGCAAAAAUUUAUUUUCCAAAUUCUCUUCCAAGCUUUGUUCCUAUUCAUAGUUAACGUCAUUUUUCAUAUAACUUAAUAAAUUGUCAUUUAAUGUCAUGAGCGUU